AACUCUUAGCGGUGGAUCACUCGGCUCGUGCGUUGAUGAAGAACGCAGCUAGCUGCGAGAACUGAAUUGCAGGACACAUUGAUCAUCGACACUUUGAACGCACCUUGCGGCCAAAGUUCCUACUGGAGCUACACCUGUCUGAGGGUUG